GAAAGGGGAGCAAUCCCUGAGUACAGUGGCGUACGGGUGAGUAACACGUGGGUGAUCUGCCCUUUGGUGGGGAAUAACCCUGGGAAACCGGGGCUAAUACCGCAUAAGCCUGAGAAGGGAAAGCCGAAAGGCGCCGGAGGAGGAGCCCGCGGCCGAUUAGCUGGUUGGUGAGGUAACGGCCCACCAAGGCUGAGAUGGGAAGCCGGCCUGAGAGGGCACACGGCCACACUGGCACUGAUUUUUUUUCCAGACUGGGAACGGGAGGCAGCUNGCUCCCCCUACGGGCUUUCUAGAAGUCUCCUGCAAUUU
rnacentral:sRNA from 1 species